rnacentral:tRNA from 1 species
GCAUCUAUGGCCAAGUGGUUAAGGCAAUCGACUCAUAAUCGAUUUAUCGCUGGUUCAAAUCCAGCUAGAUGCA